rnacentral:tRNA from 1 species
AGACCUGUAGUUCAACGGUUAGAACGAACAACCGAUAAUUGUUAGACGAUGGUUCAACUCCAUCUUGGUCUA